GCCAGGCGUGGUGGUGCUUGCCUGUAGUCCCAGCUACUCAGGAGGCUGAGAUGGGAGGAUCACUUGAGCCCAGGAGUUCGAGGCUGCAGUGAGCCGAGAUCACGCCACUGAACUCCAGCCUGGGCAACAGAGCGAGACCUUGUCUCAA
ensembl:misc_RNA Metazoa_SRP Metazoan signal recognition particle RNA